GAUUGUUCCCCUCUACUCAGCUCUUGUGAGGACCUAUCUGGAGUUCUGCAUCCAGGAAGGACAUGGAGCUCUUGGAGUGGGUCCAGAGGAGGGCCACUAAGAUGUUCAGAGGGCUGGAGCACUUCUCUUAUGAGGAAAGGUUGAGGGAACUGGGCUUGUUUAGCUUGGAGAAGAGAAGGCGACGGGGGACCUCACUGUGGCCUUCCAGUACUUGAAGGGAGGAUAUAAACAGGAGGGGGUGGCUGUUUAUGAGGGUGGAUAGUGAUAGGACAAGGGGGAAUGGUUUAAAACUGAGACAUAGGAGGUUUAGGUUAGAUAUUAGGCAGAAGUUUCUCACACAGAGGGUGGUGACACACUGGAACAGAUUACCCAAGGAGGUUGUGGAUGCCCCAUCCCUGUUGGCAUUCAAGGCCAGGCUGGCUGUGGCUCUGGGCAGCCUGGUCUGGUGGUUGGCGACCUUGCACAUAGCAGGGGGGUUAAAACUGGAUGAUCAUUGUGGUCCUUUUCAACCCAGGCCAUUGUAUGAUUCUAUGAUUCUAUGCUUGCAGACUUCUUCUCUCCAGGAGUCCAUGUCCAUGGCACUAACAAGCUGGUUGAAGGAAGAGGUGAUAUUUUAAGUGCAUUUGACACACUGGAGUAAAUUGAGUCUUUGAAGUUAAAAUAAGG
ensembl:lncRNA